AUCGACGAGAGGCGGGGAACGGGCGGGGCGAGCUGUGCAGGGGCGGAGUCACGUGCAGCCAGCGGCCCACCCCGAGGGUGCAGGCUGGGAGCCGCGGAGAGGCGUGGGCUUCCCUGCUGGUGGGGUCCCCUGGGAGCGGUUGAGGGCAGGCCGAGUCCGCGCCCCGGCAGAAUGUCCCUGGCUGCUUAUUGUGUCAUCUGUUGCAGAAGGCUAGGCACCUCUACUCCUUCACCAAAAAGGCAUACUUACUGGAGAGAUAUCCGAAAUAUAAUAAAAUUUACUGGAUCACUUAUUUUAGGAGGUUCUUUAUUUCUAACAUAUGAAAUUCUGGCUCUGAAGAAGUCUUUGACAUUAGAUACUCAAGUGGUAGAAACAGAAAAAAUGAAGUCAUACAUAUAUGUUCACACAGCUUCUUUAAACAGAAGAGAAAGUCAUGGGAUUGCCUGGCAGGCAAGAAAAGAACUUCACAAAGCAGUAAGAAAAAUAUUGGCAGCAUCAGCCAAGUUAUUGCAGAGUCCAUUUGCUGGUACUUUUAGUACGGUUGAUGUAGAAGAUCACGAAUGUGCCGUGUGGCUGCUCCUGAGGAAGAGCAAGUCAGAGGACAGAACCGCACGACUCGAGGCUGUGCAGGAAAUGGCAGAGGCCCACCAGUGGCAUGAUUAUCAAUAUAGGACAGUUGCUCAAGCCUGUGAUCCGAGAACUCUUGUUGGUUUGGCACGAAGCAAAGACAGUGAUCUUCGCUUUUUUCUCCCACCACCUCUCUUGCCACCUUUAAAAGAAGAUUCGUCCACUGAAGAAGAACUCAGGCAGCUGCUGGCUUCCUUGCCUCAAACGGAGCUAGACGAGUGUAUCCAGUAUUUUACAUCCUUGGCUCUUAGUGAAAGCAGUCAGAGUUUGGCUGCUCAGAAGGGUGGCUUAUGGUGUUUUGGAGGAAAUGGACUUCCUUAUGCUGAAAGUUUUGGAGAAGUUCCUUCAGCUACAGUGGAAAUGUUUUGUUUAGAAGCCAUAGUAAAACAUUCUGAGAUAUCCAUACAUUGUGAUAACAUUGAAGCAAAUGGAGGCUUGCAACUACUUCAGAGACUGUACCAACUUCACAAGGACUACCCUAAAGUUCAGAGAAAUAUAAUGCGUGUCAUUGGAAAUAUGGCUUUGAAUGAACAUCUUCAUUCUGCUAUAGUCCGCUCAGGCUGGGUGUCCAUAAUGGCAGAAGCAUUGAAAUCUCAACACAUUAUGGAAGCUUCACAUGCUGCCAGAACUCUGGCUAACCUAGACCGAGAAACUGUGCAAGAGAAAUACCAGGAUGGUGUGUACGUGCUCCAUCCCCAGCACCGAACAAGUCAGCCCAUUAAAGCCGAUGUCCUUUUUAUUCAUGGCCUUAUGGGAGCAGCAUUCAAAACAUGGCGCCAGCAGGACAGUGAGCAGGUUUUGACUGAAAAGGCUUUGGAGGAUGAAGACAGGUACACCACCUGCUGGCCUAAGACAUGGUUAGCAAGAGACUGUCCUGCUCUUCGAAUUAUAUCUGUGGAGUAUGACACCAGCCUCAGCGACUGGAGAGCAAGAUGCCCUAUGGAAAGAAAGUCCAUUGCAUUCAGAAGCAACGAACUUCUUAGGAAGCUCAGAGCUGCUGGUGUUGGGGAUAGGCCAAUAAUUUGGAUAUCACAUAGCAUGGGAGGUCUUCUUGUCAAAAAGAUGCUGUUGGAAGCCUCUAAGAAGCCAGAAAUGAGUACCGUUAUAAAGAAUACCAGAGGAAUCAUUUUUUACAGUGUUCCUCAUCAUGGAUCACGUUUGGCUGAAUACUCUGUCAAUAUUCGUUAUCUUCUCUUUCCCUCUUUGGAAGUCAAAGAGCUCAGUAAAGAUUCUCCUGCACUUAAAGCACUACAGGAUGACUUUCUGGAGUUUGCUAAAGACAAAAAGUUGCAGGUGCUGAAUUUUGUAGAAACACAGCCAACCUAUAUUGGCAGCAUGAUCAAACUCCAUGUGGUACCUGAGGAGUCAGCAGAUUUAGGCAUUGGAGAUCUGAUUCCUGUGGAUGUUAACCAUUUGAACAUUUGUAAGCCAAAGAAAAAGGAUGCUUUUUUGUACCAACGUACUCUGCAGUUCAUCCGUGAAACUUUAGCCAAAGAUCUUGAAAACUAACUGCUCUCUUCCAUUUUCUAUGGGAAUACAUGCAAGAAACGUGGCGUAUAAAGUUAUGACAGCAGUGUGGUCUGGAGUGGUGGAGACAACAGAGUGUGGCUCUCCAUUCACACACUGGAAAGCAUGCCCACAGAGUGGAUGUGACAGAAGGAAUGGCUAGAGUGGAAACCUCUGGCUUACAGAAAUCCCACAGUGCUGGGCCUGGUGACUAGAGCAAAGCUGCUGGGGCUGGAGAGGCCCUUUUCUCACCUGGGAGCCCCAGUAGGCAACUCAGCUAACCAUAAAAAUGCCAUAGAGAGAGUGCCUAAACGGAGAGAAGAGUGAACUAGAACACAGAAGAUUCUGUUUUUGUUCUGGGUGUCCAUGUGAUAUAAAUUUUUAAAACGUGUUUUUACUUAUUUUGGCUGAGCAGAAUUGGUGGUCAAAUGCUAAGUCUGUGCUUAACAUUGAGGAGAUGAUGGACUUGUGUAGAGUUGGGGUGUCAAAGCUGAAGAUGGAGCCCAGCAUUUGAAGGUAAGCAAGGUCAUCAGCAAACCCUGUCAUAUCAACUUCUUAAGGUCCUCCCCCCCUCCCUGGUACCGGGGAUCGAACUCAGGACCUUGCACUUGUGAGGCAGGUGUGGUGCCACUGAACUACAUCCCCGGCCCUUUGGUACUUUUUUUUUGGUUCUGUUUUCCACAAACUGUGGCAGAUAAACCACAGUAGAAACAACUAUUCAUUAACUUAAUGAAUGAAACCCCUUUCCUUAAAAUCCUAAUAUAUAACUACCAUAGCUGUGCUUUUAACAAGGGCUAGAGAGACAUCCAAUAUAUUGCAAAAUUACUGUGCUUUUUCAGGUGAGCUAUUUAGCAUUUUUUAUUCUGUUUAUAAAAUAGAGAGUCCACCUCCAUUUAUCAGACAAACAGAGAUUUGGAUGAAGUUUAUCAUACAACCUAAGUGAAAAGUAACAUAGCAAAACAAAAGAAGUGUAUAAUGAUGACCAGAGAUUCAGUCUAAGAGGAACGUAAUCUUGGACAAAAAAAAAGUGAUGAACAGGGAAAAGGUAGUGAUGUGGAAACAAAUUGGAAACCAAAUCAGUCAGCAGCACAAUUACUAGAGUAUAAAUGGGUGAAAAUUCUGUUACUACAGGGAUACCAUGAUGGAUGCAGGACCAUAAUAGAUGAAAAAAAAUAAAAUGCUCAGAGUAAUUAGAAGAUAGUAGCCGGGUAUGGUGGUACCCUCCUGUAAUCCUAGCACUCAAGAGGCUGAGGCAGGAGGAUUGCUGUGAGUUCAAGGCCAGCCUGGGCUACAUAGUGAACUCAAGGCUAACCUGAACUACAUAGUGAGAUCCUAUCUCCAAAAAAAAAAAGAUAGUAAAAUUAUUCAACUAUGAGCUCAAUGGACAGGCAUUAUCAGUAUAAACUAAAGGAAUAGAGACCCCUGUGCUCCUGACAGUCCUCCUGCUUCAGCCUCCCAAGUGCUGGGAUUAUAGUUAUGCCUGAGAAAUCUUACUGAUCAAAUCAAGAUGGGGUGAAAUAAAAAUGCUGUAUUUCAAAAUGCAAACAAAGACCCUUAAAAAUGCCAAAAACCUCAUGUUAGAAACAAUAAUGUUGAAAAGAAUCAUGUGCUCAGCUAAGUUGCCCUUGAAAUAAUAGAUGGACAUACUCAAGCCCGCAAGGACUUGAAAAAUACUGUUACAAUCAGUUUUAUCCCCUUAGCUUAAUUUAAAAUAAUAUUAUAUAAUUACAUAUAUAAUGCUACCUCGGUUCAUGAACUUAAUUUGUUCUAUGAUUUUGGAAAAGAUAGCUAUGGUUGUUUCUAUUUGUCACCCAAUGCAGAGUUUGCAAACAAAAGCAAAAUUUUGCCAAAUGCUUCUGUUUGCAAACCAAAUUGUUUGCAAACAAAAGCGCCAUGAACCAAGGUACCACUGUAUUUUAAUCAUCUAGUAUUUUACUAUGCAUAUACAGUAAAUACAUUUGUAGAAUAAUGUGUAUUUCUGGGUAGAUUUUGAGUGAACUUAUUUUGGGUGCUUAUAUAAAAUGCUGAAUUUUUGAGCGUGUGCUAUUUUGAUACAUGAUUCUUUUUUUUUGGUACCAGGGAUGAAACUCAGGACCUUGAGAUUGUGAGGCAGGCAGCAGAACCACUGAGCUAAAUCCCCAGCCCUUGAUACAUGAUUCUAAAAGGGUAUGGAGAAGUAGAAGUUGUAAUCAUAGCCACUUUGUUCAUUGCUCAGGUUAUUGUAACAUAACCUAGCAUAUAUCUUAGUAAAACAAAGAUAAGUUGAAAAAGUCAUCUUAAAAGGUAACAGAAGUUUACUUUCAGUGAUAGAAUGCUAGAUUGUUUGGCUCUGACUUCCCAGUGAUAACUGGAUGAAGUGUUUUUUAUUGAUCAAAGAAGUAACAAAAAAUGAUGACUGAUAUAUAUAUCUAAGAAAAGGCAAAAAGCAGAACAAAGAUACUUUAGUUAUUCCCUCAAUACUGGGACAAAAUACCUGACAACCUAUAACUUGAGGGAGGAAAGAGGUUUAUUUUGGCUCAUGUUUCGGUCUAUAGUUGCUGGCUCCAAGGCAGGAAGCCAUGGCGGGGGCAUGGUGGACUAGAAGCAGAAAAAGUGGAGGAAGGAGCUGGGGAGGGAGACAAGCUCUUCUAGGCCACAUCUACAGAACUGCUUCAGCUCAUCAGACCCCACCUCCUAACUGCCAGCUAUUAGCCCCCAUAAUCCAAUCACCUUCCAAAAGUGCCACCUAUGAACACAUGAGGCUCUUGGGGGACAUCUAGAUAUAAGCCAUAACAAGGGACUAGCAGUCAAGACUACUUUUGCUCUAGGCAGGGACAUCACUAGAUUAUUUGGCCACUGGGAAUGACAGUCACCACUUGAAAAUGAGAUUGGGGCCAUCCACUCCCCGUGCCCCGCCCUACUGACCUAAUGAGACCUGUUCUAGCAGAAGACUGACGGGGCCUGCAGCUCUUUGGCCCACAGCCCAUCGCUACAGAGUGCCCAGGGUAACUCUUCUGGUCAAGAGUAAGUCCUCACAUGGGGGCCACCUGUUCCUCUUUGUCAACAUUCUUGGGACCUACAGUUAAUCUUCAGUAUUGGCAGUGGGAAUUGGCGAGCCUUUUCAUCCCUACAUAACAGCUCUCUUAAAUUCCUCUUAAGUUCACUCCUGGUGAUUCCCCAGUGCUGCAUUCCCCUCCUGGGAUGGCACCUACUUCUUAAGCUCUGACAACAGUCAUCUUCCAAAAUCCUCCUCCCCUCUCUACAUAGUCUACCCUUCUCCUUCCUCCAAUGUCUUAGCCUGUAAACCUAAACAGUCCUCCUUCAAGGCUUUAGGGACAGUCCCCACUUAUUUGCCCAGGCUCUCAGUCACAAUCUCAACCAGACUCCACCUUUGAAGAGUGAAGUGCUCUGCUAUGUUGAUGGUAUCUUAAUCUGCAGCCCCUCUCCCCAAGACUGUCACUCAAAUACCUCUCUUUUUCUCCUGCAGAUACUGUGCCUCACCUUCCAAGGCAUAGUUAGUCCAGACCACCAUGCAAUACCUGGGGCUUCACCUUAUACCCACCUCACAGGCCAUCACAAAUGAUCACAAAGCUCUCAUCCAAUCAGUUCUCCUCACAGAGACUGCUCUUGUUCCUCAGCCUAGCUGGCGUUCUCUGCCCCUGGAUCCCCAAUUUUGGCCUCAUAGCCAGACCUUUAUAGUGCACCCCCCUAAAAAAACCCCAUACCCUCAUGCCCUCCCCAGCUCAGGGUAUUUUUCACAGCUGCCUUCAAACCACUCGCUGUGUGAUCUCAAAUCACUUUCUCAGUGUUAAAAAUUCCAUCCCACAGACAGCUGAUAGUUGGUUCAUAGAUUAAAAACUAUUUGUAAUCCCCCAGUGGGUGCCAGGUGACAUAUACUAUUGUCUCUAACUUCAGACACACAGUAAUUGAGACUCAAACACUCCCCACAAAAAACACCUCACAACAGGAAAAACAGCCCUAACCCAAACACUUACCUUGGCUUCUUCCAGGGUUUCUCAGUAUACAAAAAUCCCCAUCACCAACAAAAGCCACAUGAAAACUCAGUCAGCCAUCCUGCCACUGAAGGUGGCUGUCCUCCACUCUAUCCCAUUGAGCCUUAUAGCCCCAACAAGUCUUAGCUGACAAAACAGCUGAGCACAUUGCUCUCAGCCAAACCCCAAAAGACCCCAAUCACUUCAUUCCUCUUCCUUGUUCCCAGAUUUCAGCUAUUAAACUCCACCAUCCUUGGCCAGACUUCUCCCCCAGCCCUCCUGCAUAUACAAGCCCUGCCAAGACAACCCACAAGGCUCAGUCCCCUUCUGGCCCUAUUCCUCCCACUUAUUCCCUAGGAGAUUACUCCCAUUCAUCUCAGGCCAUUUGAGCCCUCCUAUGAGCCAGCAAGAAAGCACAGGAGCAAGCACUCACUGACACUUUCUUCCCUAGCCUUCACUCAUUAUUCCCCUUCACUUCCACCCUGGCCUACAGGUCCUGCUCAGAACCCUUAAAAGGUCACUCUACAUCCAACAUGGGAGAGACCCUACAUUGUCCUUAUCAACCCCCUUCCUGCUGUCCUUUCUGCCCUGCCCUUAUUAUUACCUCAAAACUCAAGAAUGUCAGGCUGUUCUGUUCUUCCUCCCUGCAGGUUUCUCCCAGAAAGCUACCUGUUGUCCUCUGACUCUCUCGCUCCCUGAAAUUAUUUGCUUUACCCCUUCCCUCAUGAUGAAAAUUAAUAUCCUUUCCUCCAAUCUGAACUUCGCUCCCAGAAAUAAUCCCUGACAUCUGGCUCCAGGACACCUUUAUCAAGUUCACUCUGACACAGAUCAGCUUCUUCACCUUCUGCCUCCAGUUUGUUGAACCAGGCAACAUGUUGCCAAUGGCAAACAGUGAUUUUCUUGGGCUGUUCAGUUAGUUCCUCUCCUGACAGGAAUCAGAAUAGCCAUUGUUUUGGGCAUUGGACCAGCUAGACUAAAAGUCUCUACCUUUUCUCAGCUCUCUCCAAGCAGGUUCAGCCCCACCCUCUGCCCCUGCCCAAUGGCUGGCCAUGCUGACAACCUCAGUUCCUGGCCAAGAACAAAUAAAAUUCACUGCUGUGCUGCACAAAGACUUCCUAUUGCCCAAAACUCAAUCCCCACCUUGACUACCAUGCCAUCCAGCUUGCCUGACUGAAUUCCCCCUUCUUCACCAUUUCUCUACCCUAAGCAGUUACCUAUUAAACUCGCUAACCUGCAAGAUCAAAUCAACUCACUGGCUGCUGUUGUGUCCAAAACUAUCAAAGCCUAGAUUUGACUCACUACAAAAAGGUGGGCUCUGUGCCUUUCUCCAGGAGACCUACUGUUUCUUCACGAAGUCCGGACUCAUGAGAUGGUGUCAAAAGGGUGUGUGAUCAAGUCACUGCCCUACAGACUUGGCCUUGUCCUGGACCAUUCCUGCCUGGCUGACCACUUCCUGGAACUCCUGGCUCAUACACCUUCUUGGGCCCAUUGUUUCAAUAUUCCUCUUAAAUCACAUUUGCCCCAUGUCUCUAGCUUCAUCCAAACACAGAUGUCUCAGUUCACUUCUCAAGUGGCCCCUACCAGCCCCACAAAUUUGUCCCUGCUCAGCCUGAAGCAGCUUGAUAACCCACACCCUCGUACUUGUUCUUGUUCUUCAUUACCUUUAAAAACCUGAGAGAUGAUAGGUCUGACCCCUGCUAGUCCCUAGCCACCCAAGUUCCUGAACUUGGAGAAGAGUCACAGCCCAUUCCUAUAUUCUGCAGCACCCCCAGCACGCACCAACCCUGUCUACAUUGCUAUGUUAAGGCACACCUGGGACAACAAAACUUUAGCUGUUGCUAUGGCCACAUACUCGGCUAUUCUCGCUCCCCCAGUCUCAUACCCCAUAUGGCCUCACCCCACCUAAGCCUAUCCCACUAACGCCUCCAGCCUUAACCAAACAGACCCAGGUCAGUAAACUGGGCUUGGACUCUUCUUUGGAGUUACUUCAGGAGGUCCUGCAUGGAACCCCGAAUUUGGGCUGGCACUAUGUUCUUUUUUGAGGUCAUGACUGUUUACCUAACAAGUACUACUACAAGUGUAAGGAGGAAAUAGUUCUAAUAUUAAAUUUCUCCAAUUAAUAUAAAAGACGACAACCCAACUCAUUUUGUGAGGUUAACAGUACUGAAAGGGAGAGGUAACAAGCCAUUAAUGAACAUGGUUAUAAAAGUCCUAAGCAAAAAUAUUGACACAGUAAAUUUAGCAAUAUUUAAAAAGAUAACUGCCGGCAUGAGAGUGCAUGCCUGUAAUCCCAGCACCCAGGAGUCUAAGGCAGGAGGAUUACCACAAGUUCGAGGCCAGCCUGGACUACAUAGUGAGACCCUGUCUCAAAAAGUGAAAAGAUAUCUGUCCAAGUUGGAUUUAUACUAAGAAUGCAAGUUUUGCUUAGCACUGAAAAACUGAUUAAUGUAAUUCACUGGGUUAGCAUAUAAAAGGAAACAUCACCGUCAAUAUAUGCAGAAUUAUUUUGAUAAAAUUCAGUGACCAUUUAUGAAGAACUGCAAGCUAGGAAUAGAAUUAUCUUAAUCUAGUAAAGGAUAUCUGAAGACAAAAAUGACAAUAACAUACUUAAUGGCAAAUUAACUUUCCUUUUGGGGACAAGUAUAACAAAGGAAUGCUUACUAUCAGCAUUUUUAUUUAACAUUGUACUAACUGUCCUAGCUUGCUCUGGAAGGCAAGGAAAAAAAUACAUUCUUUGUAGAUUACCAUCAGCAUAAUCCAAAAGAGUUGACAUAUACAAGAGUUUAUCAAUACCAAGAUGCAUUUUAAACUUUUAAUAUUUUUAUAUCUGACAUCUCACAAUAGGUGGUUUGUCAUAAUGUAGUUGGAAGCCUUCUUAAGAACAAUGGUAUAGGGCUGGGGAUUUAGCUCAGUGGUUCCAGUGCCUGCCUUGCAAGAGCAAGGACCGGAGUUCGAUCCCUGGUACCAAAAAAAAAAAGAACAAUGGUAUAUAAGUGGUAUCAUAUUUGAUUGUAUAUUGAGUCUAUUAGAAUACAGUAAAUUUGGGGAUUUAGCUCAGUGGUUCCAGUGCCUGCCUCACAAGCGCAAGAUCCCGAGUUAGAUCCAUGGUACCAAAAAACAAAAAACAAAAAAACCCAGUAAAUUGUUAGAAUUUUUUAAAGUUUGACAAGGUUGCUGAUGCAGUUGGUAUACAAAAAAACUUCCAUAAGUAUAUUAGCAAAUGAAAUUUAAAGAAUUGUUAGAUAUAAUCACAGUAUUAAGGUUAUGAAAAAUGUUAGAAAUUUGUUGAAAGUAUUUAGGAAUCAAAUAUAUUUCAACAAAGGAAAAAAUAAAGAGCAAAACGUUACUGUUAACAUUUAGGUGAUAUAUGAAAUUUCAAACUUCCCUCUGACCUCAUGUAUAUUUAAAUUUUUUAUAACAAAUAACUUUGAGAAACAUUACUAUAAACCUUAAAUGGAGAAAAAUAUAUUCUGUUCCUGGAUUGAAGAUGCAAUGUUGUAAAGAUUUUCAAGCUAAAAAUAGUCAAGAUAGUUUUAAAGAAAAAGAACACAGUGGGAAGGUAUCUUUACCAGAUAUCAGAGUUAAAUAAGACCGUGUCACCUUGGCACAAGGAUAGGCCAUGGGUACAGAACAGAGAGCCCAGAGUGUCGGAGUUCUGGAACCAGCCAUAUGAAGACCUCAGGAAAAGCCCCUCCCCAGAGAGAGAUUUAUUAUACUGGUCAAAAUUAGCAAACACCAUCAAUUGUUCAAAGCCUCUAGAGAUUCAAAAGCCUUGCAGCAAAUUGAGAAACAUAUACUUAACAAAAUCUAAGGCAGCAAUGGUGAACGUUUUAGAGUUUUAAAUUAUACAAACAGCCUGCUGUGGCAUGUGUGCCAUAGGUUCACCACCUCUGAUCUAAGGGAUCUUGAUAAGAACAAUGGGAGGCGGUCACAAGGGAGCUAGAACUAGAGCCUCCUCCGUCCCCCCACAGAUCCGGCCUGCAUAGAGAACCUGUCCCACGAGGUCACAGAGGAACUGACAUUCACACUUACGAAAUACUGUAUUCUACCACUAAAAGAAAAAAAUGUAUAUUGAUGAAAACAGUUCAAAAAUUCAAUUUUCACAUAGCCACAAACAAAAUUUUUAAAGUAGGUGUGUUUAUAGGUCAUGUUGUUAGGUCACACUCCAAUAAAAUUAGAAGUAAUUUGAAGAUGCAAAAACAACACAAAAAAAAUCCUUCACUUGGAAAUUAGUUUCUUAAUCCUUCAAUCAAAUAGAAAAUAAAAGCAAAAUUUACAAUCUAUCAUUAAGGACAAGGAGAAUAUUUCAUGCCAAAAUGUGUGGGGUAUACAGUGUUAAGGGUAUAAUUACAAAAAAAGUGUAAACUUAAAUAUCUUUAUUGUUAAGUAAGAAAGACUAAAAAUAAGCCCACUGCUGCCUUUAAUUAAGAUUAGGAAAAGAAUAAAAUUUAAAAACAGAAUAAGGACACAAAGUUGAAAUUAAUGAAAAUGUUUUAUAUAAAUCUUAAAGCUGUUAUUGGUAAAUGUCAAUAAAAGCCUAAAAAAGGAAGCAAGAACAAUGGGUAAAGUACUAAUAUAAUUAUCCUUUAGGAAGAAGGUAUUGGACACCCCUGCCUCACACUAUUCAUAAAAUAUAUUCUAGCUACUUUGAAGAGUUGCUGUUAAUCCAGGAAAAGCCUGUAAUCUUAACCAUUCUAACACACAGACUUAUUUGGGGUAUCCCACUACCCACUGCUUCUGUUUCCUACAGAUUAAAACCCUAUGUCCUCUGAAAUUCUUUCCCAACGGCUAAUGUCCUUUCUAGCUACAUAAAUUUACUUUCUUACUUUCCAAAUGCUUAUUCCUUCUGCUCUGCAAAAGACAACAAGAGAAUGAGAAAGCAAGCCAGAGAAUUAGAGAAAAUAUUUGUAAAAGAUACAUCUUGUUAAAGGACUAUUAUAUUAAAUAUAAAGAACUCUUAAAAUUCAACAGUAUGAAAAUGAACAAUCCAAUUAAAAACAGACUUUGAACAGGCAUGUCCUGUCACCAUAGACAGCAAACAAGUAUUUGAUUUUUAAAAA